rnacentral:rRNA from 1 species
AGUCGAGGGGCAGCACGAUGUAGCAAUACAUUGGUGGCGACCGGCGCACGGGUGAGUAACGCGUAUGCAACCUACCUAUCAGAGGGGAAUAACCCGGCGAAAGUCGGACUAAUACCGCAUAAAACAGGGGUUCCACAUGGAAAUAUUUGUUAAAGAAUUAUCGCUGAUAGAUGGGCAUGCGUUCCAUUAGAUAGUUGGUGAGGUAACGGCUCACCAAGUCCACGAUGGAUAGGGGUUCUGAGAGGAAGGUCCCCCACACUGGUACUGAGACACGGACCAGACUCCUACGGGAGGCAGCAGUGAGGAAUAUUGGUCAAUGGGCGAGAGCCUGAACCAGCCAAGUCGCGUGAAGGAUGAAGGAUCUAUGGUUUGUAAACUUCUUUUAUAUGGGAAUAAAGUGAGGAACGUGUUCCUUUUUGUAUGUACCAUAUGAAUAAGCAUCGGCUAACUCCGUGCCAGCAGCCGCGGUAAUACGGAGGAUGCGAGCGUUAUCCGGAUUUAUUGGGUUUAAAGGGUGCGUAGGUGGUUAAUUAAGUCAGCGGUGAAAGUUUGUGGCUCAACCAUAAAAUUGCCGUUGAAACUGGUUGACUUGAGUAUAUUUGAGGUAGGCGGAAUGCGUGGUGUAGCGGUGAAAUGCAUAGAUAUCACGCAGAACUCCGAUUGCGAAGGCAGCUUACUAAACUAUAACUGACACUGAAGCACGAAAGCGUGGGGAUCAAACAGGAUUAGAUACCCUGGUAGUCCACGCAGUAAACGAUGAUUACUAGCUGUUUGCGAUACACAGUAAGCGGCACAGCGAAAGCGUUAAGUAA